GAUGAACGCUGGCGGCGUGCCUAAUACAUGCAAGUCGAGCGAACAGACGAGGAGCUUGCUCCUCUGACGUUAGCGGCGGACGGGUGAGUAACACGUGGAUAACCUACCUAUAAGACUGGGAUAACUUCGGGAAACCGGAGCUAAUACCGGAUAAUAUAUUGAACCGCAUGGUUCAAUAGUGAAAGACGGUUUUUGCUGUCACUUAUAGAUGGAUCCGCGCCGCAUUAGCUAGUUGGUAAGGUAACGGCUUACCAAGGCAACGAUGCGUAGCCGACCUGAGAGGGUGAUCGGCCACACUGGAACUGAGACACGGUCCAGACUCCUACGGGAGGCAGCAGUAGGGAAUCUUCCGCAAUGGGCGAAAGCUUGACGGAGCAACGCCGCGUGAGUGAUGAAGGUCUUCGGAUCGUAAAACUCUGUUAUUAGGGAAGAACAAAUGUGUAAGUAACUAUGCACGUCUUGACGGUACCUAAUCAGAAAGCCACGGCUAACUACGUG
rnacentral:rRNA from 1 species